GAUGAACGCUGGCGGCGUGCCUAAUACAUGCAAGUCGAGCGAACAGACGAGGAGCUUGCUCCUUUGACGUUAGCGGCGGACGGGUGAGUAACACGUGGGUAACCUACCUAUAAGACUGGGAUAACUUCGGGAAACCGGAGCUAAUACCGGAUAAUAUUUCGAACCGCAUGGUUCGAUAGUGAAAGAUGGCUUUGCUAUCACUUAUAGAUGGACCUGCGCCGUAUUAGCUAGUUGGUAAGGUAACGGCUUACCAAGGCAACGAUACGUAGCCGACCUGAGAGGGUGAUCGGCCACACUGGAACUGAGACACGGUCCAGACUCCUACGGGAGGCAGCAGUAGGGAAUCUUCCGCAAUGGGCGAAAGCCUGACGGAGCAACGCCGCGUGAGUGAUGAAGGUCUUCGGAUCGUAAAACUCUGUUAUUAGGGAAGAACAAACGUGUAAGUAACUGUGCACGUCUUGACGGUACCUAAUCAGAAAGCCACGGCUAACUACGUGCCAGCAGCCGCGGUAAUACGUAGGUGGCAAGCGUUAUCCGGAAUUAUUGGGCGUAAAGCGCGCGUAGGCGGUUUUUUAAGUCUGAUGUGAAAGCCCACGGCUCAACCGUGGAGGGUCAUUGGAAACUGGAAAACUUGAGUGCAGAAGAGGAAAGUGGAAUUCCAUGUGUAGCGGUGAAAUGCGCAGAGAUAUGGAGGAACACCAGUGGCGAAGGCGACUUUCUGGUCUGUAACUGACGCUGAUGUGCGAAAGCGUGGGGAUCAAACAGGAUUAGAUACCCUGGUAGUCCACGCCGUAAACGAUGAGUGCUAAGUGUUAGGGGGUUUCCGCCCCUUAGUGCUGCAGCUAACGCAUUAAGCACUCCGCCUGGGGAGUACGACCGCAAGGUUGAAACUCAAAGGAAUUGACGGGGACCCGCACAAGCAGUGGAGCAUGUGGUUUAAUUCGAAGCAACGCGAAGAACCUUACCAAAUCUUGACAUCCUUUGACCCUUCUAGAGAUAGAAGUUUCCCCUUCGGGGGACAAAGUGACAGGUGGUGCAUGGUUGUCGUCAGCUCGUGUCGUGAGAUGUUGGGUUAAGUCCCGCAACGAGCGCAACCCUUAAGCUUAGUUGCCAUCAUUAAGUUGGGCACUCUAAGUUGACUGCCGGUGACAAACCGGAGGAAGGUGGGGAUGACGUCAAAUCAUCAUGCCCCUUAUGAUUUGGGCUACACACGUGCUACAAUGGACAAUACAAAGGGCAGCGAAACCGCGAGGUCAAGCAAAUCCCAUAAAGUUGUUCUCAGUUCGGAUUGUAGUCUGCAACUCGACUACAUGAAGCUGGAAUCGCUAGUAAUCGUAGAUCAGCAUGCUACGGUGAAUACGUUCCCGGGUCU
rnacentral:rRNA from 1 species